GAACCUGUGGGACGAGCAUGCUGUUGGUGGGAUAUAACUGAGUUUAAUCUCAGAGUAAACAAGAUGAGGAGGGAGAGAGGGCUGAUUGCAGCACUUGUUUUCCCAUUGGCUGCACUAAAAACCUUAAAAUUCUGAUGAAUUCUUGUGCACUGCACUGAAUCAGAAGUCUUACCUCAAAACUGACUCCAACUUUGCAAAGAAGUCUGCAGGAAUUUCUACAUAGCCAACUGCUGUCAUUUAUUUGAGCAGCUCAGUACAUAAUUAAGAAGCCUUGGAGCCUGGGACAGCCCUUUAUCUUGAAAAGUGACUCUUCCAGGUGACUGGACAGACCACGAGCAGAAAACUGGUCCUACACCUGCAAAGGACCCCUAAAAACAACCUAAAGUCUCAUAGACGAACAGUUUGGUGUGAAGAUGACAGAGGACAGACUGUUCUGCUGCCUUUUAUGGAGGAAAGAAGCCUUUGUCUGGGGUCUAGGCUGAAAGACAUCUGAAUUUUUUAGAACUAGAGGCAAAAAAAAAAAAAAAAAAAGGAAGCCCAGAUGAAAGACAUAUCAGCCAACUUUCAGGAAACUCCCCCAAACCUUGACACAUUCCAGUCACCAGAGGUACAAAUAGAAACGUAGAAGCCGUGGUGUGAAAUUGUAGGACCUUGUUUAUUCUGCACUUCCUGUCUGCAAAGUGUCUUGGCAUAUAUCUGAACUGCCGACUUGGCAUCGCAUCCUAGAAGAACACAUUUCAAAUACUGCAGUUAUGUUUAUAAGAACGAGUUGCACUUAUUUUUAUGCCUUUCUAAUGCAGAUGCAGCUGAACUAUACUACUGAUUCAUGUAUACACCUCUUUUCCAUAUAGAUGAUGACUGCGUCAGAAAAGCCAGCACUCUGAAAUAGCACACAGUGAAAUACCACAGCAAUUCUCAUUUGAAGUCUAUAGUGGGAGAGAAAUCUCCAAAAAUGAAGGGCAAGGUUCCUAAUCCAUAGCAGCUUUUUGCCAGAAAGAUGUGGGAGAGAAGAAACAGGAUGCAUCCUGCAUGAAUCAUCACUGCAACCACCCUGGAUUUAUUAACUGAAAUAAUGAGGAACACCAAAAAGGAUUAAAACCUCAAAAUGCCUGUUGGAAGGCAUCUUCUCAAGGACUGACUCUUGUGAGCUAUUGCCAUAGACUUCCUGUUGAUAGUAAAGCAGCCAGGACUAAAACAGCCAAGAUUUCAAGACCAAAUAAUGUGUUAAAAAAUAAAUAAAUAGAUAGACAUUCGUCAUCAGUGUCUAUCACAAAAAGAGAUGAAUACAUCCCCAGCAACUUUCCAAAAACCAUUGCUUGAGAUUCUGGUAGCUGGGGACAACAGGCUGAAAGGAUGAGGAACCCAUGAAUCUGUGGAGUGAUCUAGUAGGAAGGAGCAAGACUUUCCUUUCUCUUUAAGCCAUAACCAGCUUCUGUGCUCUGUAUUUUACAAGUUUCAUUUUUAAGGUUGGACCAAUAGAUUCCAUUGAAAUGCAGCUCAUGGCUACCAUGGACCCCAAAUAAAAAUACAUGCUUUACCCAAAGGGUUCUCCUGGUUCUGCAGAGCUCUCCUUGGCAGCUGGCUCCUGGAGGGAAGCCAUUUCCCAGGAUGCUGAUUUCCUUUGCUAUUCUCUAUGAGUUCCUGAUGAGGACCCUUCAUUUCUCUGCUCAGGCUCCUCCUAUUUCUGCCCUUGACUUCUUCAUUCUCCAUGGUCCGCAGUGCUUCCUCCUGCAGUGGGUUCAACUCCAUGAGCUUCCUCUGGGUUCACAGCUCACAGUCACUGUGUUGCUCUCCAUUUUCCAUGUCCUAGCCUUUGUUUCUGCCCCUCUUCCUCCCAGAUUUGGACUGAAAGAUUUGGGUUCUCAAUGGAGAAGAAUACCAUGUUACUCUUAGGCAAUAAAUCCAGCAAUGUGAGGGUCCAGAGCAUCUCUUCAGUGCAGGAGCAUUCCCUGGAAGAAGCUGGAGGAAAAGCUUCACUCAGCAUCACUUCAACAACUCAACAUAAGAAGCGAGGCAUAAAAACAUAAAAAAACAAACAUGAAAACAUAAAAACAGGUACAUUUAUCUCACCUCUGCAAAGUCUGGAAAUGAUGGGCAUGAAUUUACCAGAGAGAGAGAAACAAAGUGAGAAGGUCCUAGACAUCCAUAGCAGAAGGAAUGUUGGGAGAUCAGUGGUCUCCCUGCCAUCUGUGUGCUCUGCUCUAUUGCAGGCUCUCCCUGUAUUCAACAGUGUUCAGCUGGGGAGGCUGAAUACCUCACUAUUUUUAAAGAUAAAUGUUAAUAGGAUUAAUUGCCAGUACUCCAGGAAUGGUGCCAGGGCUAAAAAGUAUCUACUAAGAAACUACCAAGAAAUACUGCUAAGCAGGAUCUAGGAAAAAAGCCAGACACCAAAAUUUAUGAUGCUUAUCUCUGCAAUAAUAAUUUCAUGGUGGUUAACCAAGGAGCAGAACAAAGGUCAUCAGUUUCAUAUCAGCUGGAGUUUGUGCAAUCCUUUGUUUUCUUCUACGUGAGCUUGCCCUGCAAGUUUGAUGCAGGAGACCCUAGAAAUGAAUGGAAAAGCCUGGCAGUUCAGAAUGUGCCAUUUGCAUCUCAUUCUUUGCUCAAGACCAAAGAACAGUGGAUGUCCAAACCAGAAACCUUCCCUUUACUGGUCAAAACCCAACCCAGCUCCUAAUGCAGGGUUAGCACCUUUCACCUCAUUUCAUUAAAUGAGUUAUCCGUAGGACAGGUAUGAUGAACAUCCAUGUUACCGAAACCCCAUGGAUUAACAUGUACAGUCAGGAGAGGUUAUCUAAUAAUUUCGUUCUUGUGCAAAUAAACAUGAGGCUUGACCUCAUCUUGUGUUCUUCUGCUUUCCAGCAGGAAGAGGGACAAACAAGAGACCCUUGGAGACCUCUGAAAAUAAAUAAAAGGAGAUGAGGC